rnacentral:lncRNA from 1 species
AGAUUUUCAGGAAACUAGAUAUUCUGUCUGGGUAGAUUUAACUCUCACUGUUCUAGAAAUACUCCCAUUAGCCUAUGAUCUUUGCUUUGGCAUGGAGUCUGAUGACACAUUGAUACCAUUUUCUGCCUGUUAACCUACCAAAGGACACAAAACCCUCUUCAUUUCCCUAGAAGUACAUGUAAUAUUUCAAAAUGUAUCACGGGGCACAGCCAUCCCAGGAAAAAGAUGUAAGGUAAUGAGAUAACGUGAAGAAUUCUAGGCACUGAAACUCAAUUCUGGUGGUGAUUUUAGUCUGAGGAAACACAACAAAGUGGUCUGGAACCAAACCCCUGAUAUUUCUAUGAUGUGCCUGUAGAUUGAGGAGGCAGUAGCAGCACUGGGAGCUGGUCCUCUCAGCACCGACAGCAAGCCCCACAGCACCACUGUUGGGUUUUGGCAUGAUCAGCAACCAGGAAUAUUCCCACAACCAUCCCAGCCAGGAGGGGAAAUGGGGUCGUCACCCAGUGUGCAGAACAUAUAAAGACAUCCCUUGGGAACCUCAAAAUUGGAACGGAGAUGGGCCAGAGAAAUACAUUUGUGACUACGUCUGUGACCUGAAUUUUUCCUACCACAGUAUGUGACUCCUCAGCUUCUGACUAAUGGGGUACAGGGGAUGCUACCACAAAAUAUGGCAGCUUGGCAUACUGGGUUUUUUAACCUGAAUUAAAUUGAGAAAACUGUAGAGGCAAGAAAGUCACUCUACCUUCUCCUGCCUUUUUCCCAUGGAACAUGGCUGUAAAAGAAUUUUCUGACCUACUUUGCCUGAAAAUAAGUCCUAAGACCCUCAUUCCAGAGGGGUCCUGCCCUAUACCUGGAGACCAAGAAGAAUCUGAACAAACAGGCCUUCCUAAAUUCUCCACAGCUUAUUACCAUCACAUCCUUUUGUCCUCCAAUCACACUUCUGUACAAGUGACCAUAAAAAUACAGUUUUCCCUGGGCCUUUGGGUCUUCAUUUCUAAAGGCUCCCAUGUCAUGUAAAACUUUGGUUAAAUACAUUUGUUUUGCCUUUGUCCUGUUAAUCUGUCUUUUGUU